rnacentral:misc_RNA from 1 species
UCUCAUCGCCUGAUCAGGAUUCCGAACUUGUCUAGUAUUGCCCCAAAUGUCGAGUUUUUAUAUUUGGAAGAAUGUUCGAGUUUGGUUGAAAUUCCCUCUCUUCAAAAUCUGAGCAAGCUUACUGAACUUUAUUUAACUGGAUCCAAUAAAAUCAAAGAUUGUCCAGAGAUUCCGUGUAAUAUAAGGAUUCUAAAAUUAGACGGAACUGGAAUAGAACAACUGCCUUCAUCAAUUAAGCAUCUGUCUCAACUUGUCAUAUUGUCCUUGGAUGGGUGUACAGCACUCGAGAGUCUUCCAAGCAGCAUUGGCAAUUUGAAACGUCUUGAAGAACUUCAUCUAGCUGAAUGUUCAAGACUCGUGACUAUUCCAAGCAGCAUAGGCGAGUUGAAAUGUCUUGAAAAGUUAUUUCUCCGGAAUUGCUCAAAUUUAGCAAGUCUUCCUGAAAGCAUCAAACAACUUUCGAAGUUGAAACUGCUUGAUUUAAGAGAUUGCAAGAGUCUUAAGAGUUUACCAGAGCUUCCGUCAUGCUUAAAAUUAUUAAAAGCAAUUGAUUGCCACUCUCUGGAAUCUGCAUCAAUUUCUUUCAAUUUCUUAGAACAUGAUGAUGAAAAUGAAGAAGCAGAUAGAAGUGAACAUGAAAAUGAAGAAGC